rnacentral:rRNA from 1 species
GUAGUCAUUUGCUUGUCUCAAAGAUUAAGCCUUGCAUGUCUAAGUACACACUUUGGUAAAGUGAAACCGCGAAUGGCUCAUUAAAUCAGCUACAAUUUAUUAGAUCGUACACUGUUACUUGGAUAACUGUGGGAAUUCUAGAGCCAAUACAUGCCGAGAGUCUCUGCUCUUCGGGGCAGAGCGCAGUUAUUAGACCAAAACCAGCCGUAUUCUUCGGGGUACGCUCUUUUGGUGACUCUGGAUAACCUUCAGCCGAUCGCAUGGCCUCGUGCCGGCGACGUAUCUUUCAAGUGUCUGCCCUAUCAACUUUCGAUGGUACGUGAUAUGCCUACCAUGGUGAUAACGGGUAACGGGGAAUCAGGGUUCGAUUCCGGAGAGGGAGCCUGAGAAAUGGCUACCACAUCCAAGGAUGGCAGCAGGCGCGCAAAUUACCCACUCCCAGCUUGGGGAGGUAGUGACGAAAAAUAACAAUGCGGGACUCUAAGAGGCCCCGUAAUUGGAAUGAGUACACCUUAAAUCGUUUAACGAGUAUCAAUUGGAGGGCAAGUCUGGUGCCAGCAGCCGCGGUAAUUCCAGCUCCAAUAGCGUAUAUUAAAGUUGCUGCAGUUAAAAAGCUCGUAGUUGGAUCUGGGGCUUGAGGUCGCUGUCUAUCGUUUCGGCGAUGACGGUGAUGCUCAGCUCUGCUUGCCGGUGACUGUUGCGGUGUUCUUCACUGAGCGCUGUAGCAGCACGGCACGUUUACUUUGAAAAAAUUAGAGUGCUCAAAGCGUGCUUGUCGCUUGAAUAAUGUUGCAUGGAAUAAUGGAAUAGGACCUCGGUUCUAUUUUGUUGGUUUUCGGAGCUUGAGGUAAUGAUUAAGAGGGACGAACGGGGGCAUUCGUAUUGCGGUGUUAGAGGUGAAAUUCUUGGAUCGCCGCAAGACGGACUACUGCGAAAGCAUUUGCCAAGAACGCUUUCAUUAAUUAAGAACGAAAGUCAGAGGUUCGAAGACGAUCAGACACCGUCCUAGUUCUGACCAUAAACGAUGCCGACCAGCGAUCCGUAGUGGUUGCUUUAUGGACCCUACGGGCAGCCUCCGGGAAACCAAAGUAUUUGGGUUCCGGGGGAAGUAUGGUUGCAAAGCUGAAACUUAAAGGAAUUGACGGAAGGGCACACCAGGAGUGGAGCCUGCGGCUUAAUUUGACCCAACACGGGAAAACUCACCCGGUCCGGACACCGUAAGGAUUGACAGACUGAUAGCUCUUUCUUGAUUCGGUGGAUGGUGGUGCAUGGCCGUUCUUAGUUGGUGGAGUGAUUUGUCUGGUUAAUUCCGAUAACGAACGAGACUCUAGCCUGCU